GGUCUAAUAGUGUAGCGGUUAUCACAUGUGAUUUUGAUUCCCAUAACCCAGGUUCGAGUCCUGGUUAGACCU
rnacentral:tRNA from 1 species